AUUUGGCGGACGGGUGAGUAACGCGUGGGCAACCUGGCCUUAAGAAAAGGAUAGCCCCCGGAAACGGGGAGUAAUACUUUAUGAGAAUGAAAGAGGGCAUCCUACUUUCAUUCAAAGCGCAAGCGCUUAAGGAUGGGCCCGCGUAUCAUUAGCUAGUUGGUGAGAUAACAGCCCACCAAGGCAACGAUGAUUAGCCGGUCUGAGAGGGCGAACGGCCACAUUGGAACUGAGAGACGGUCCAAACUCCUACGGGAGGCAGCAGUGGGGAAUAUUGCGCAAUGGAGAAGAACUCUGACGCAGCAAUACCGCGUGAGCGAAGAAGGUCUUCGGAUCGUAAAGCUCUGUUAUCAGGGAAGAAGAAAAUGACGGUACCUGAUGAGCAAGUCCCGGCUAACUACGUGCCAGCAGCCGCGGUAAUACGAAGGGUGCCAGCAGCCGCGGUAAUAAU
rnacentral:rRNA from 1 species